rnacentral:tRNA from 1 species
GGGUAACCGUUGGGGUAACAGGAUUUUCGCCCGUCUGCAAGUUAUUGUCCCCCAAGCCCUUCCAACCCGUGGAAAGGUGACUCUUAAUCACAAGGUCGCAGGUUCGAAUCCUGCACGGCCCACCA